UUUUGGCCUUAUCGAAGCAGAUUGUCUGCUUAACCAUUAGCGCAACCUGUCAAUAAUAGGCCGAGAAUGAACUCUCUAUCGACGGUCAUUGAAUACCUUACCCUUGUUUGGCAUGGUCUAUCAAUAACAUAACUGACGGAGAAACAUGG
rnacentral:snoRNA from 1 species